UUGACUCCAUUCCAGCCAUUAAUAUGAGCCGUCCUGCCCUCAGCAGCCUCCACUGUGGCAACUGUUGGUGUGGCUGUUGACUUCUAUGUAAUGCCUUUUUAAAUGGAAAGUUCAUCCCAAAUUAUGAAAUGCAGGACUUCAAGAGUACCUAUGAUACUAGGAUAAUGGACAAUGACCCAACACACCUCCAGGCUGUGUAAGGGCUAUUUGACUAAGAAGGAGAGUGAUGGGGUGCUGCAUCAGAUGACCUGGCCUCCACAAUUCCCUGACCUCAACCAAAUUGAGAUGGUCUGGGAUGAGUCGGACCGCAGAGUGAAGGAAAAGCAGCCAACAAGUGCCCAACAUAUGUGGGAACUCCUUCAAGACUGUUGGAAAAGCAUUCCAGUUGAACCUGGUUGAGAGAAUGCCAAGAGUGUACAAAACUGUCAUCAAGGUGGCUAUUUGAAGAAUCUCAAAUAUUAAAUGUAUUUUGAUUGGUUUAACACUUUUUUGGUUACAACAUGAUUACAUAUGUUUUAUUUAAUAGUUUUCAAGUCUUCCCUAUUAUUCUACAAUUUCGAAAAUAGUACAAAUAAAGGAAAACCCUUGAAUGA